rnacentral:misc_RNA from 1 species
GGGCAAGCAUAAUCUUACAUGAUUAAUUAUUAGUUUUUUACCGCACAAAGAGUUGCGUGAAGAACACGCUCUCUAAUGAACAUAGACAAAUGGGCACAGGACAACCCAUCUUUAUUAUAUAUAAACAUAAAUAAAUAAACAAUGCUAAAUUAUUACAAAAAAAAUAACAAAAGAAAAUAAAAAUAAAUUGGUUCCAAAGUCUAAAAUUCUCUUCUAGCCGUCCAAAUUCAAUCCCUAACCUCAUCUAAAAAUUCCUUUCCCAUAUUUGCUCCUCUAAAGAUUCACAAUUCUUCUUCUAUAAACCCAGAAGAAAGAAAAUAAAAUAAAAUUAAAUCUCUCUUCUACCUUUCUUUCUUUUUUUUCUUGAGAGCUUACAAUAAUAAAUUAACAGUGAUUAUAAUGAUAAUAAUUAAUAUUUUGGGUGGUUGUGAUUAACUGUAGAUGAAAUUUUGCCUUUUGUCCUUUCAAGAAGCAAGAGGCCCCCUUUAUGUCAGAAGAAAAUCUCCAACUUCCAAUCUUCAAUGCUCAUUUGUCCUUCUUCCAUUAUUCAUACCCAUAAAGUGGCUUGUGUCAGAGUUAGUUAGUACUAGGAUUCAUCACAGGAUAAAAAUUCACCGUGACACGCUUCGCCCUCUCUCUACACAAACCCUAGCUGUAGUUCUUUCUUUUCUUUUCUUCUGUUCUUCUUCUUGUAGCCAUGACUUCAGUCCACCCAAAUUCUACUACAACAACCAGGUUUGCUCGUAGAUUUCUCAUUUCCCUUUCCAGGAUGAGAAGACCAAUAACGCUUGGUCCUCCUUCUGAUGAGGAAGUCUGCAGAAGAACCCGUAGGAUAAAGCUUGCUGCUUAUUCCUCCAUGGCUCGCGCUGUUGGGUCGAGAAGGGCUUGGAGCCGAGCACUUCUUUUGAAGGUAAGAAACCGUGUCAGGUUCCAGGGAAUUUUGAGAAAUAGAUUCUUGGUUUCUAAGAAGAAAAGGGUUAUCAAAGGAAAUAAGGCUUCAGGAGAGAUGAACAAGACUGAUAUGCUUCGAAAGCUGGUUCCUGGUGGGGAAACUAUGGAUAUUUGUGGGUUGUUGGAGGAAACUGCGCAUUAUAUGGCAUCUCUUGCCACGCAGGUUAAGGUGAUGCAAAGUAUAGUGGAUCAAUACUCGAAAUGAUCAUAUAUUGGAAAGGAAAAAGGAAAGGGAAGUACUGAAACAAGAAUAAUAAGAUAGAGAAGAUGCUGUGUAGACGAGGACAAGGAUCAAGAUGGGGUGGUAAUUAACUGGUGAGUAUCUAUCUAAAAAGAAAAAAAAAAUUAAUAGUUAUGGUAUACUUGUGUAGAUCAUCAAAAAGGUACGGUUGUAUGUCAGAAGCUCACACAGAAUUUAGCUUUUUCUUGCAUGGGUUUUUGUUUUGUUGUACAUAGAUAAAGUCUGACAGAGAUCUAAUCUUAUAUUUGUAUACUUUCUUUAUCUGUGAUGA